UACGAAGGGGGCUAGCGUUGUUCGGAAUUACUGGGCGUAAAGGGCGCGUAGGCGGUGCCUCAAGUCAGGCGUGAAAGCCCCGGGCUCAACCUGGGAACCGCGCUUGAGACUGGAGUACUAGAGUUCGGGAGAGGAUGGUGGAAUUCCCAGUGUAGAGGUGAAAUUCGUAGAUAUUGGGAAGAACACCGAUGGCGAAGGCAGCCAUCUGGACCGGCAUUGACGCUGAGAGCGAAAGCCAGGGGAGCAAACGGG
rnacentral:rRNA from 1 species